rnacentral:rRNA from 1 species
UACGUAGGGUGCGAGCGUUAAUCGGAAUUACUGGGCGUAAAGCGUGCGCAGGCGGUCUGUUAAGACCGAUGUGAAAUCCCCGGGCUUAACCUGGGAACUGCAUUGGUGACUGGCAGGCUUUGAGUGUGGCAGAGGGAGGUAGAAUUCCUGGUGUAGCAGUGAAAUGCGUAGAUAUCAGGAGGAAUACCGAUGGCGAAGGCAGGUCUCUGGGCUGACACUGACGCUCAUGCACGAAAGCGUGGGGAGCAAACAGG